AUUGAACGCUGGCGGCAGGCCUAAUACAUGCAAGUCGAACGAGUGGCGGACGGGUGAGAAAUGUCGGGGAAACUGCCUGAGGGAGGGGGAUAACUACGGGAAACGGGAGCGAAUACCGCAUACCAUCGGAUGUGCCCAGAUGGGAUUAGCUAGUAGGUGGGGUAAAGGCUCACCUAGGCGACGAUCCCUAGCUGGUCUGAGAGGAUGACCAGCCACACUGGAACUGAGACACGGUCCAGACUCCUACGGGAGGCAGCAGUGGGGAAUAUUGCACAAUGGGCGCAAGCCUGAUGCAGCCCUGCCGCGUGUAUGAAGAAGGCCUUCGGGUUGUAAAGUACUUUCAGCGGGGAGGCGUUACCCGCAGAAGAAGCACCGGCUAACUCCGUGCCAGCCGCCGCGGUAAUUC
rnacentral:rRNA from 1 species